rnacentral:tRNA from 1 species
GUCCCAGUAGCUAACAUUUUAAAGCAUUGGCCUUGUAAACCAAAGACGGGUUUAACCCCUGGGUCA